CUGGGAGCAGGGGGUAGCUGGAGGGAGGGAGCCCCGUCGUUCACCGCUCAGGGCUGGCACCAAGUUGAGAGCAGCCCGGGGGGCGGCCCCAGCUCUGAGGGCGGGGGGCUGCCCCUGACGCUGCCCACUGGGCCUGGGGAGCGGGACACCCUCUGAGCACGGCCUGGCACUGCCUUCUCUCCCCAGGGCUGUGCAGCUUCAGGCAGGGGCUGCACCCUCCGGCCAACCAGCCGCAGCUUUCUGGUGAACAAGGCAGGCAGUGGGCGUGCGGGGCUCAGCGAGGCAGGACUCCCCGGAGCCACCCCUCCCCCAGGGCUCCCCGCACUCACCCGCUCACUCACACAGGCAUGCGCGUGCGUGCACACCACACACGUGUGCACACGUGUGAACGCACGCAGCGGCGGGAAGCGGCGUCCUCAGCGCCGGGCUCGCAGACGUGGGGUUUUAUUAGUGCUACAAAUCAGAUAUCACACAGUUGGGGGCUGACGUGGUUUUUAUAAGAAUUAUUUAGGGCCUGGCCGCCGGUGAAGUCCCAGGGAGAACCUGCUGAGGAACAUCCAGCUGUUUGGGCCUCGGAAUUCCCAACACUUCGUAAAGUGAAGGCCUCACUGGUGGGGUCGGCCGUGCACGUGGCCCAUCUCUGCAGCCUCCACGGAUGUUUAGGGACAAUCCUUCCACCAUGGCCAGGCUGCCCCCAGCUCGCCUGGAACACUCCGGGAAAAGCACCCAGUCCUCCCCUCCUUGGACAACGCAGACACGUGUGUCCCCAAAAUCGCAGACCCAGCGGAGGAAGCAACCCCAGUGUCUGCCACAGAGCAUGGAUUCGCCCACGUGGACACACACAGCACGGAGCAUUACGCGGCCUUCCAAGGCUCAUCCUGCGACGUGCCACAGCAUGGACGAACCUGGGGGCACUGAGCCGACCACUGAGCCGACCACCGAGCCGACCACCAAGCCGACCACGCGCUGACCGCCGCGCCGACCACCGCGCCCGCCUGGGGCAGGCGAGCCCCUGGAGAGACGGAGAGCAGAGCUGUGGCCAGCAGGGGCGGGUGAGGGGGGUGAGGAGGGCUGGCCGCAGGGCACAGGGCUGCUUUCUGGACAACACAAACAUGUUUUGAAAGGGAUCACAGGAUGGAGACAAGGCUCUGCGAAAGUACGGACACCUCACGACAUACUUGCAGUGGGCGGGUGGUGGGGUAUGUGAACUAUGUCUCCAUAAAGCCGUUUGAAGAUAGGA